rnacentral:rRNA from 1 species
UACGAAGGGGGCUAGCGUUGUUCGGAAUUACUGGGCGUAAAGCGCACGUAGGCGGAUACUUAAGUCAGGGGUGAAAUCCCGGGGCUCAACCCCGGAACUGCAUUUGAUACUGGGUAUCUCGAGUCCGGAAGAGGUGAGUGGAAUUCCGAGUGUAGAGGUGAAAUUCGUAGAUAUUCGGAGGAACACCAGUGGCGAAGGCGGCUCACUGGUCCGAUACUGACGCUGAGGCACGAAAGCGUGGGGAGCAAACAGG